ensembl:lncRNA
CCUCGGCGCUUGCCGUAGUUUUGCACUUUCCGGGCUCGAGGGGAUUAAAGUUUCUGAGCGGGUCUCAGAGGGAAUUCUCAAUGAGCAGAACACACACACACACACACACACACCCCGCUGAUGGCAGGUCUAAAGUUCAGGAGGAGAUGGUAAUCAACACCUUCAUGCAGAUUGCAGCUUCUUGGUGAGGAGGGAGGAUUUAAAUCAGAUGAAUUCUCUAGAACGGCAGCUCUGACAGUAGCGCAGAUCGAUGUUCCUGGAGCUGGUGAGAAGAUGGCCACGCCGUGGACCCGUGUGAACAGUGCAGAGAAGAAA